GAUGAACGCUAGCGGCAGGCCUAAUACAUGCAAGUCGAACGGUGUAGCAAUACACAGUGGCGCACGGGUGCGUAACACGUAUGCAACCUACCUAUUAUUGGGGGAUAGCCUUUGGAAACGGAGAUUAAUACCGCAUAAGACAGUGACAUGGCAUCAUGUAGCUGUUAAAGCUUUGGCGAUAAUAGAUGGGCAUGCGUCCAAUAGUUAGUUGGUGAGGUAAUGGCUCACCAAGACGAUGAUUGGUAGGGGAUCUGAGAGGAUAAUCCCCCACACUGGCACUGAGAUACGGGCCAGACUCCUACGGGAGGCAGCAGUAGGGAAUAUUGGGCAAUGGACGGAAGUCUGUCCCAGCCAUGCCGCGUGCAGGAUGACGGCGUUAUGCGUUGUAAACUGCUUUUUUAUAGGAAGAAGAAGCCCUUGCGAGGGAAAGUGACGGUACUAUAAGAAUAAGCACCGGCUAACUCCGUGCCAGCCGCCGCAGUAAAAC
rnacentral:rRNA from 1 species